AGAGUUUGAUUCUGGCUCAGGACGAACGCUGGCGGCGUGCUAACACAUGCAAGUCGAACGGAAAGGCCCCAGCUUGCUGGGGUACUCGAGUGGCGAACGGGUGAGUAACACGUGGGUGAUCUGCCCUGCACUUCGGGAUAAGCCUGGGAAACUGGGUCUAAUACCGGAUAGGACCAUCGUUUAGUGUCGGUGGUGGAAAGUUUUUCGGUGCAGGAUGAGCCCCCGGCCUAUCAGCUUGUCGGUGGGGUAAUGGCCUACCAAGGCGUCGACGGGUAGCCGGCCUGAGAGGGUGGACGGCCACAUUGGGACUGAGACACGGCCCAGACUCCUACGGGAGGCAGCAGUGGGGAAUAUUGCACAAUGGGCGCAAGCCUGAUGCAGCGACGCCGCGUGGGGGAUGACGGCCUUCGGGUUGUAAACUCCUUUCAACCAUGACGAAGCUUUUUGUGACGGUAGUGGUAGAAGAAGCACCGGCUAACUACGUGCCAGCAGCCGCGGUAAUACGUAGGGUGCGAGCGUUGUCCGGAAUUACUGGGCGUAAAGAGCUCGUAGGUGGUUUGUCGCGUCGUCUGUGAAAUUCCGGGGCUUAACUCCGGGCGUGCAGGCGAUACGGGCAUAACUUGAGUACUGUAGGGGAGACUGGAAUUCCUGGUGUAGCGGUGAAAUGCGCAGAUAUCAGGAGGAACACCGAUGGCGAAGGCAGGUCUCUGGGCAGUUACUGACGCUGAGGAGCGAAAGCAUGGGUAGCGAGCAGGAUUAGAUACCCUGGUAGUCC
rnacentral:rRNA from 1 species